UACGAAGGGGGCUAGCGUUGUUCGGAAUUACUGGGCGUAAAGGGCUCGUAGGCGGCCAACUAAGUCAGACGUGAAAUCCCUCGGCUUAACCGGGGAAUUGCGUCUGAUACUGGAUGGCUUGAGUUUGGGAGAGGGAUGCGGAAUUCCAGGUGUAGCGGUGAAAUGCGUAGAUAUCUGGAGGAACACCGGUGGCGAAGGCGGCAUCCUGGACCAACACUGACGCUGAGGAGCGAAAGCCAGGGGAGCAAACGGG
rnacentral:rRNA from 1 species